UACGGAGGAUGCAAGCGUUAUCCGGAAUGAUUGGGCGUAAAGCGUCCGCAGGUGGCAAUGUAAGUCUGCUGUCAAAGCGUCUGGCUCAACCAGAUAAAGGCAGUGGAAACUACAUAGCUAGAGUAAGGUAGGGGUAGAGGGAAUUCCUGGUGUAGCGGUGAAAUGCGUAGAUAUCAAGAGGAACACCUGCGGCGAAGGCGGGUUGCUGGGCCGACACUGACGCUGAGGCGCGAAAGCCAGGGGAGCGAAUGGG
rnacentral:rRNA from 1 species